GACAGAGGUGCCAAGCGUUAGGCGGAAUCACUGGGCUUAAAGCGUGUGUAGGCGGAUCGUUAAGUACCUUGUGAAAUCCCACGGCUCAACCGUGGAACUGCUGGGUAUACUGGCGGUCUUGAGCCACCUAGGGGCGAGCGGAACAAGCGGUGGAGCGGUGAGAUGCGUAGAUAUCGCUUGGAACGCCAACGGUGAAAACAGCUCGCUGGGGGUGUGCUGACGCUGAGACACGAAAGCCAGGGGAGCGAACGGG
rnacentral:rRNA from 1 species